AGAGGGGAGAGAGGAGAGAAGAGAGAGGAGAGAAGAGAGAAGAGAGAAGAGAGAAGAGAAAAAAAAUCCACGAUUAGAGUUAGAGACUUCAGCAUCCCCUUCUCAUCAACCAGUUUAGCAGACAGAAAAGAGCCAGGGUAUAGAAGAACUCAGCAACACUACCUGUUAAUAGGCUCAAACUGACAUUCAUAGGUUACUCCAAACAACAAUAGAACACAUAUUUUUUUUAAGUACUAAAGGAACAUAUACCAAGAUAGGAACAUAUACCGAUCCAUAAAACUAAUCUCAAAGAAUUGAAAAUAACUGAGAUUAUAUAGAAUGUCUUUUCUAAUCAUAAUAGCAUCAACAUAGAAAUUACAAGCCUCUUGAAAAAGAAAACUCAAGACCCACAUAGCUUCACUGGAGAAUUCUAAUUCUACUGAAAUAAAGAGUUAGCACCAAUUGUAUAUUAUGGCUUACAGAGAAUAGGAAAGAAAAUUUCUGUUGUUGCCACUGUUAUUGUUUGUGUUCUUUAAGGAAAGUGCUCUCUAUCUCUCCCAUAUACACACAUAGGCAGAGACUUGUGUACAACACGAUCACAUGUGUGACUACAGGCACAUGUGUGGCAGCAUACAUAUGGAGGUCAGGGGAUGCCUUGAGUGGUCCUAGCCUUCCUCCUUGUUUGAGAGAGGGUCUCUGGUGUUCACUGCCACCCAUGCCUGUCUAGAUGGCCUUUGAGUUUCCAGGGAUUGUGUCUCUACUUCCCAUCUCACAGUAGGAGCCCUGGGAUUCCAGAUGUGUACUGUGCAGAUUCCAGGGAUCUGGAUUGGAGUUCUUGUGAGUGUGUUCUAAGUGCUUUUAUACACUGAGCCUUCUCUCCAGCCCGAGUCUUGCCAUGUAGUCUUGGCUGCCCUAGAACUCUCCAUGUAGUUCAUGUGGAACUGGGAUUUGUGGAAAUCAUCUUGCCUCUCACAAGUGCUUAGAUCACAGGCAUCAUUACCACUGUAUCUCCCUGCCUCAGCAACAAAAACAAACAAAACUUACAUCUAUAAAAAAAUGUACUGGUCUGUGAUCGUAAAUGACAAAAUCGGAUGCUUUCCCUUCUAAGUUCUAGAGCAAGACAAGGAUCUCUAAUCUUGCUGCUCUUAGUCAAGAUAAUACUGGGAUUCCUAGCCAGUACAAUAAGGCAAGAAAAGGAAAUUAAAAUAUAUAUAUAUAAAGAGAUAUCAGAAAGAAAAAAAAACAUUGCCUCUAUUUUGUUAUGAUUGAUAGUUUAUGCCAAAAAUCUCAAGGAAUUUAUGUAAAAAAAAUAGCUAGAACUAAAAAAUUAGUUCAGGAGCUAGGACUGAAAGUCCACAGCAGAGUGCCUUCCAGCACUCGUGAAGCUCAGCUGCAAUAACAAGUACCUCC
rnacentral:lncRNA from 1 species